AGCAAGCUGGAAGCACGCCGGCGCGAUUCCGACCGAGGGAGCCGGGAGGAGGAGCCGGAGGUGGCUGCGGGGGGCUCUGGCCCAGGCGAAGGAAGGGCAAGAGACGCUACGAAUCACCGAGCUGACCCCCUCUCGUCCUUUGGCCUGGAGAAGAGAGAGUCUCAGGGCUCGGAGAUAAGCGGGAAGGCACCGGAGGGAGCCACAAGUCUGCACCCAGGCGGGGAGGAGGCGGGCAGGAGCCGCUCCGCAGGCGCAGGCGAGUGGGUGGGAAGGAGGGAGGGAGAGAGGGAGGAAGGAGGUGAGGCCGGGAAGAUGCCACUGCCGGGGGCGGGGCGGGGCCGGGGAUCCGGGAGAGGGACUGCAGCGGUGCCUGGUGGGGGCGGGGGCUGCAAUGUCACUCAUUUUGGGGGUCAGGUGUGUGAGUCCCAGGCUCGGGCCGCCACUUGCCUACAUCUACCCAGUACCACCUAGGGCGCAGGGGCGGAGGCGAAGGGUAAGGGACUGCAGAACCGUCCCCGGAGCGGGACGCGAACCAGCAGAGUUGGGAGAAGGUAAACAAGGGCCACGCCCCCUGCCGUCGCCCCGCGGGCGCGCACCCGCCGCUCGGGCUGCUGCCGGUACAUUUCCACUCCCAGCGCUUCUCCCCCGCUGGACUCCCGCGCAGCCUUGGAGGGGGGGCUGCCCCAGACCCCAGCCCGCGCCCCUCGCGCUGGGACUACGCACCUUCCAUACUCACCUGGAAAGGGUAUCCCCUGCCCCUCCGAAAAACUGCUUAAUUUGUGCAAAGCCCCCGCGCCCGGGAGCUGAGCAUGCUGCCCCCGCGUGCAGAGCCCGCGUGCACCCAGCCCAGAGAGGGGGCGACAGGGCGGAGGCGGUGGCCCCCGGAAGGUGUCUGGGACCGGACCGGCUGCACGUGAGCCCAGCGCGGGGUCAUGUGCACCGGCUCAGCCCGGUUCGGCGCCCGGACGUGCUGCGUAUCAACAAAAUGAAACUCGGGGAGACAGGAGGGCAGAAAGCUCCGGGUCCUCCGAACCCCCAUCCCCGGCCGCUCGAUCUCCUCUCCGCACCGGUCUCCCGCCGCAGCCCCUCCGCCCUGCCAGAGCCCGCGGGGCAAGUUGCAGCCCUGGCGCGCCCCCGCCCGCCCGCGCCCCCUCCCCGGCCCAGGGGCGCUUUGCCGCAGUCAUUAAUAAAGAAGGUCGCCAAGCUCACCCUUCCAAAA